rnacentral:rRNA from 1 species
GAUGAACGCUGGCGGCGUGCCUAAUACAUGCAAGUCGAGCGAACAGACGAGGAGCUUGCUCCUCUGACGUUAGCGGCGGCCGGGUGAGUAACACGUGGAUAACCUACCUAUAAGACUGGGAUAACUUCGGGAAACCGGAGCUAAUACCGGAUAAUAUAUUGAACCGCAUGGUUCAAUAGUGAAAGACGGUUUUGCUGUCACUUAUAGAUGGAUCCGCGCCGCAUUAGCUAGUUGGUAAGGUAACGGCUUACCAAGGCAACGAUGCGUAGCCGACCUGAGAGGGUGAUCGGCCACACUGGAACUGAGACACGGUCCAGACUCCUACGGGAGGCAGCAGUAGGGAAUCUUCCGGAAUGGGCGAAAGCCUGACGGAGCAACGCCGCGUGAGUGAUGAAGGUCUUCGGAUCGUAAAACUCUGUUAUUAGGGAAGAACAAAUGUGUAAGUAACUAUGCACGUCUUGACGGUACCUAAUCAGAAAGCCACGGCUAACUACGUG